GAACACCGGUUCUCAUACAAUCAGCAAAGUUGAGCAACGUCAAGCAUGGUUAGUACUUUAAUGGGUGACCGCUUGGAAAUAGCAUGUACUGCU